GCCGAGGAGUCGAGACUUGCACAGGAUCACACAACCACUUAUUCUGCUCCUCCCUUUGUGACUGUGGCCAAAUGGGGCCCGGGCUCCUAGAGGCAGCUCGCUCCUUCGGGGACCCGGGACCUGGAUGCCCAGGGAAGAGCGCUUCUGUGCAGGUGUACCUGAGACUCUGGCUUCCAGCCUCUGGUUCCUCCAUCAUACAAGGGAAUCCUCAGCAAUGAUCCAAGGCUGGCUGAGCGGGAGGAAGCCUGGAAUUACUGAUAAUAAGGACUGCGCAGGUGAGUAACCUCCCGUGGACACCGGCUGUUUGCUUUCUGAGUCUGCCGGGGACGGCGGCUCUGAGGGCUCCUGGGGAUUCAGACUCAGUCCUGGCUAAGUGACCUAAGAAAAGGGAUGUUAGCUGCUACUCAUGCAGCCCCGGGAUGAGGGGACAUCCCUUCCCUGCCUCCUUCCCCUGGCGGAGGGCAGGCCUACCUCUGCCUGCUGUGCCCCUCCAGAGUGAAGAGCCAUCCCUAGGGAUAAAGAAGCCUGGGAGAAACUGAGCAGAAGGCAGUGAGGGACUUAAAGGGAACGGAGCAAGCAUCUCUAAGUCCCGAGGUGGGGAGGUAAGGGAUGCAGCUGCUGGGGGGCCAGUGUGCGCCAAGGAGGGGAGCCUGCCUCUGGAGCCAUGUUUAAGGGACGUGUCCACAAAUGAACAGCAGUGAGGAGAUGAGAAAUAUUCUUUCCCCCUCAGAAUGAUAGGCUCAUCC